rnacentral:rRNA from 1 species
UACGUAGGGGGCAAGCGUUGUCCGGAAUCAUUGGGCGUAAAGAGCGUGUAGGCGGCCCGAUAAGUCCGCCGUGAAAGUCCAGGGCUCAACCCCUGGAAUGCCGGUGGAAACUGUCGGGCUGGAGUCCGGAAGAGGCGAGUGGAAUUCCUGGUGUAGCGGUGAAAUGCGCAGAUAUCGGGAAGAACACCUAUGGCGAAGGCAGCUCUCUGGGACGGUACUGACGCUGAGACGCGACAGCGUGGGGAGCAAACAGG